rnacentral:rRNA from 1 species
CCUACGGGGGGCAGCAGUGGGGAAUAUUGCGCAAUGGGCGAAAGCCUGACGCAGCGACGCCGCGUGAGGGAUGAAGGUCUUCGGAUCGUAAACCUCUGUCAGCAGGGAAGAACGGUCACUGUGCUAAUCAGCAGUGAAUUGACGGUACCUGCAAAGGAAGCACCGGCUAACUCCGUGCCAGCAGCCGCGGUAAUACGGAGGGUGCGAGCGUUAAUCGGAAUUACUGGGCGUAAAGCGCUCGUAGGCGGUAUGUCAAGUCAAGGGUGAAAUCCCUGGGCUCAACGUGGGAACUGCCGUUGAAACUGGAAGACUGGAGUGUGUGAGAGGAUAGUGGAAUUCCAGGUGUAGGAGUGAAAUCCGUAGAUAUCUGGAGGAACAUCAGUGGCGAAGGCGACUAUCUGGCACAUAACUGACGCUGAGGAGCGAAAGCGUGGGUAGCAAACAGGAUUAGAUACCCCAGUAGUC